UAUCCACAGAGGGAGAGUCAACACUCCGACAGGGACUACCAGGAAUGAUGCCUGCAGACUUAGCUGCCAGAUCAAUGGCACCUGAAAGAGCAGAAACAGUUUAGACACGCAAAGGAUUUCCCCACAUUGGCUCAUACAUGUAAAACAGGGAAACAGUACAUACUGGAGAGCUGACUGGUGGUUGCAGCUGAAACCUUGGAAACGAUGGAGCGAGGCGAAGGAGCAGGGCGAGUAUGGAUUGGCCGGAAAGAUCCAGUUCCUGAGGGAUGAAAAAGCAAUUGUACCUGCAGAGGAGUUGGAGAGGAUGGAAAAGGAGCAGACGUGCGGAG